CACACACACACACACACACACACACACAGAUACAUAUGGCCAUUGCCAGUCAGCAAUGGAGUCCUGAGGUGUCUGAAUACCCCCACGGGGCCAGAAUCUGCAGACUGUCCUUUUUCCUCAAGUAACUUUAAAAAAGCAAAUCUCUCUUAAUCCUCUGACCUUUGUACGUCUGUAACGGAGCAAAGUGAAUAAUGUGCUGCAUGAAGAGGAGCAACCUGAUGCAGGAGGGUUUUGUGGAGUGACCACUGGACUCUUGAAGUCAAACUGACUCGGGACGAUAAAUGGAGCAAUGCUGGAAGAGGAGAUGUUUUGACUCAACACUGAGCCGGAGGGAGAAGCCUGCGGCAGGACCACUGCGUGAGGCUCACUGGGAAUAGUGGCGGCCCGGCUUCCACCGUCGCCGGGUUUUUUACUUGGCCCUUAACCACACACACACACACACACACACACACACAGCCACAAGUGCACAGAUGUGGAACUGACAUUCACAAAGCAGACCAACUGCAGGGAGUCGCUACGUCAAACACACACUUGGCUGUGUUUGAUUCCGGAGGCCUGGCGUCGCUGCCGGCACCUGGGCGGGUCCGAUCGGCUCUUUUAAUGACCCUCCUGGGAACCCUUACCUGAUGGGCCGGCUUCUGCCCAACGUGUCCAGGUGCGGCAACAUAAGCAUUUCAUUAAAAAUUGAAGGCAGCGUUUUUGCAGAGGAGGUCUCCAGUCGGCCGAGGAAAAGGACGGCGAAGGGAAGAAAAAAAACAAAGAAAUGUUCUGGCACGCGUCCAACGCUCCAGUCAAUCUGAGCUCCUUCUCCUUCUUGUCUGUCUCAUUUCCUCUCUCCCCGUCUCGCUCCCUUCUGUCUCCCCCUCCUCCCUAUAAUCACACUCUGACUUUACUUGACCUUUCUGUGGCUAAUUAGUCGGCUUGUGGAAAAGGAUGGCGCGUAGCGUAUCUCUGGCAACGGGGGCGAUGAUGAUGAUGAUGAUGAUGAUGAUGCCGAUGCUCUGGUCUUUUCUACAACAUGUAAAUGCGCUGGCGUAUAAUCCAAGGAGGUCUUUUUUUCAAACUCUUUAAAGACACAAAGUAUAAAAUUGCGUUGGCCUCAGUAUUGCCGGCACAACGGUACGUUCAACUUCAGAAGCUACGAAAACAAGCUUCAUUAAAACUGAAUUCCUGAUGUAGCUGUUUGGACUCAGAAAUAAUUAAAAUAAUGCGACUUGUUUGUCUCGCGGGGGAAAUCACAGUCGGUCGCGUUAGUCGCUGCGUGUGGGUGGAAAAGCAUUGGGAAAU
ensembl:lncRNA